ensembl:ncRNA Y75D11A.8 ncRNA
CGGCUUCAAGUUCAAAGCCAGAGACGUCGGUUCGAAUCCUUCCGGGUUUCUUCUAGGGUUCCUUCGGGUGUUUUU